GACGAACGCUGGCGGCGUGCUUAACACAUGCAAGUCGAACGGAAAGGCCCUGCUUUUGUGGGGUGCUCGAGUGGCGAACGGGUGAGUAACACGUGAGUAACCUGCCCUUGACUUUGGGAUAACUUCAGGAAACUGGGGCUAAUACCGGAUAGGAGCUCCUGCUGCAUGGUGGGGGUUGGAAAGUUUCGGCGGUUGGGGAUGGACUCGCGGCUUAUCAGCUUGUUGGUGGGGUAGUGGCUUACCAAGGCUUUGACGGGUAGCCGGCCUGAGAGGGUGACCGGCCACAAUGGGACUGAGAUACGGCCCAGACUCCUACGGGAGGCAGCAGUGGGGAAUAUUGCACAAUGGGCGGAAGUCUGAUGCAGCAACGCCGCGUGCGGGAUGACGGCCUUCGGGUUGUAAACCGCUUUCGCCUGUGACGAAGCGCGAGUGACGGUAAUGGGUAAAGAAGCACCGGCUAACUACGUG
rnacentral:rRNA from 1 species